GUGGGGAAUAUUGGGCAAUGGGGGAAACCCUGACCCAGCGACGCCGCGUGAGGGAAGACGGCCUUCGGGUUGUAAACCUCUUUUGUACGGGAAGAAGGAAGUGACGGUACUGUACGAAUAAGUCCCGGCUAACUACGUGCCAGCAGCCGCGGUAAUACGUAGGGGACGAGCGUUGUCCGGAAUUACUGGGCGUAAAGGGCGCGCAGGCUGUGCUGCAAGUCAGCUGUGAAAUGUCUGGGCUUAACCCGGGCAUGCGGUUGAGACUGCAGUGCUGGAGUGCUGUAGAGGCAAGUGGAAUUCCCAGUGUAGCGGUGAAAUGCGUAGAUAUUGGGAAGAACACCGGUGGCGAAGGCGACUUGCUGGGCAGCAACUGACGCUGAGGCGCGAAAGCCAGGGGAGCAAACGGGAUUAGAAACCCGAGUAGUCC
rnacentral:rRNA from 1 species